rnacentral:lncRNA from 1 species
UUCAUUAUGGAAGGGCGAUGCAGAUGACUGCUGUCUUGCCAUCUGAGGUUGACCUGAUGGUGCUUGUCCAGGAUAUGAAGAUGACUGCUGCCUUGCCAUCUGAGGUUGACCAGAUGGUGCUUGUCCAGGAUAUGAAGAUGACUGCUGCCUUGCCAUCUGAGGUUGACCUAAUGGUGCUUGUCCAGGAAAUGAAGGUGACUGCUCUCUUGCCAUCUGAGGCUGACCUGAUGAUGGUUCUUGUCCAGGAAAUGAAGAUGGAUGCUGUCUUGCCAUUGGAGGUUGACCUGAUGAUGCUUGUCCAGGAAAUGAAGAUGAUUGAUCUCUUGCCAUUUGAGGAUGUCCCCACGGCAUUCUAGGUUGUCUUUGUGUAUAAAGAGGUCCUGAAGUGUUCCUCCACCUAUUUUCAUCCAAGACUAUCCCAAUUUCUUGACU